rnacentral:rRNA from 1 species
UGGUGGAGUGAUUUGUCUGGUUAAUUCCGAUAACGAACGAGACCUUAACCUGCUAAAUAGCUGCGCGAUCUUUUUGAUUGUGGCAGCUUCUUAGAGGGACUAACUACUUUUAGUGGUUGGAAGGUUUGUAGGCAAUAACA